rnacentral:rRNA from 1 species
GAGUUUGAUCCUGGCUCAGAAUCAACGCUGGCGGCGUGCCUAACACAUGCAAGUCGAACGCGAAAGUCCCGCAAGGGAUCAGUAGAGUGGCAAACGGGUGAGUAACACGUGGGUGACCUGCCUUCGAGUGGGGGAUAACGUCCCGAAAGGGACGCUAAUACCGCAUGACAUCCUGCUCUUGAACGAGUGGAGAUCAAAGCUGGGGAUCGCAAGACCUAGCGCUCAAAGAGGGGCCCGCGCCUGAUUAGCUAGUUGGUGGGGUAAUGGCUCACCAAGGCGACGAUCAGUAUCCGGCCUGAGAGGGCGGACGGACACACUGGGACUGAGACACGGCCCAGACUCCUACGGGAGGCAGCAGUGGGGAAUUGUUCGCAAUGGGCGCAAGCCUGACGACGCAACGCCGCGUGGAGGAUGAAGAUCUUCGGGUCGUAAACUCCUUUCGAUCGAGACGAACGGCCUCCGGGUGAACAAUCCGGAGGAGUGACGGUACCGAGAGAAGAAGCCCCGGCUAACUCCGUGCCAGCAGCCGCGGUAUAC